rnacentral:rRNA from 1 species
AGUGAACGCUGGCGGUAGGCCUAACACAUGCAAGUCGAACGGCAGCACAGUAAUAGCUUGCUCUUACGGGUGGCGAGUGGCGGACGGGUGAGGAAUACAUCGGAAUCUACUUUUUCGUGGGGGAUAACGUAGGGAAACUUACGCUAAUACCGCAUACGACCUACGGGUGAAAGCAGGGGAUCUUCGGACCUUGCGCGAUUGAAUGAGUCGAUGUCGGAUUAGCUAGUUGGCGGGGUAAAGGCCCACCAAGGCGACGAUCCGUAGCUUGUCUGAGAGGAUGAUCAGCCACACUGGGACUGAGACACGGUCCAGACUCCUACGGGAGGCAGCAGUGGGGAAUAUUGGACAAUGGGCGCAAGCCUGAUCCAGCCAUACCGCGUGGGUGAAGAAGGCCUUCGGGUUGUAAAGCCCUUUUGUUGGGAAAGAAAAGCAGCAGGUUAAUACCCCGCUGUUCUGACGGUACCCAAAGAAUAAGCACCGGCUAACUUCGUG